GGUUACCUCAGGUCAGAGAAGACUACCCGCUGGACUUAAGCAUAUCACUAAGCGGAGGAAAAGAAACUAACUAGGAUUCCCCCAGUAACUGCGAGUGAAGAGGGAAGAGCUCAUCAUUGGAAUCUGGCGGUGUUGCACCGUCCGAGUUGUAGAUGAGGAGUGGUUCAUCUGGACUGCAUGGCGUCCAAGUACAAUAGGCCGUCAGUGGGACAUCAUAGAGGGUGACAAUCCCGUCCUUGAUGCCRAUGUGCAAGUCCAUUACGAUGGCUAUCUCAGAGAGUCGAGCAGUUUGGGAUUUGCUGCUUAAACAUGGGADGUAGAUUCCUUCUAAAGCUAAAUACAGGCGAGAGACCGAUAGAGAACAAGUACCGCAAGGGAAAGAUGAAAUAGCACUCUGUGAAGGGWGUCAAAAGGCGUGAAAUUGUUGCGAGAGAAGCGAUUCAAGUCAGCGUAGCUAGGCCCAUUAAGCCUCUUUGCGCUUUGGACUAGCUUUGCCAGCKGUCUUGUCCUUAGAGACUUGACUUGUAUGUCCAGCCUGGUAUGCACAGGUAGCCCUCCGGGGUCAGUGACAUGGCUGGUGGAAUGGCUUGCAAUCGACCYGUCUUGAAACACGGACCAAGGAGUCUAACAUGUAUGCGAGUAUAAGGGUGGCAAACCYGUAUGCGCAAUGAAAGUGAUUUUCGGUGAUUGAGAAUGGCCUGACGACCCAGACAAGCAAUAUAUGUCCCUCGGACGGCCAUUGCCCAAGUUCCGUGGUAGAUCCCACGAACAUGGAGUUGGAGCAUACAUGCUAGGACCCGAAAGAUGGUGAACUAUGCCUGGACAAAGCGAAGCCAAAGGAAACUCUGGUGGAGGCUUGUAGCGAUUCUGACGUGCAAAUCGAUCGUCUGAUC
rnacentral:rRNA from 1 species